rnacentral:rRNA from 1 species
GAUGAACGCUGGCGGCGUGCCUAAUACAUGCAAGUCGAGCGAACAGACGAGGAGCUUGCUCCUCUGACGUUAGCGGCGGACGGGUGAGUAACACGUGGAUAACCUACCUAUAAGACUGGGAUAACUUCGGGAAAUCGGAGCUAAUACCGGAUAAUAUAUUGAACCGCAUGGUUCAAUAGUGAAAGACGGUUUUGCUGUCACUUAUAGAUGGAUCCGCGCCGCAUUAGCUAGUUGGUAAGGUAACGGCUUACCAAGGCAACGAUGCGUAGCCGACCUGAGGGGGUGAUCGGCCACACUGGAACUGAGACACGGUCCAGACUCCUACGGGAGGCAGCAGUAGGGAAUCUUCCGCAAUGGGCGAAAGCUUGACGGAGCAACGCCGCGUGAGUGAUGAAGGUCUUCGGAUCGUAAAACUCUGUUAUUAGGGAAGAACAAAUGUGUAAGUAACUAUGCACGUCUUGACGGUACCUAAUCAGAAAGCCACGGCUAACUACGUG